rnacentral:lncRNA from 1 species
GAAGUUCAUUUGUUCGUUAAUUGAUGAAAAAUCACACAAAGGCGCUUCUGGACCGUAUAUAACAAAAUAUACGUAAAUGUAUGGCUAUAACAAAAUAAAUCGUGUCUGUAGCAACAUUCGCCCUAUUACAUGUGGGAUUGGCCGUGCAGUUAUAUCAUGAAUACGGGAAUAUGGGCCACGAACAUUAAUAGAAACUUUGUACCCACAUGGCUUUUGUGUUUCCAAUGCAGAGGUAAGACUAUACCUGACAGGCAUUGCCAUGCACGAGUUUGACCGAAUCAAGACGGUAUGUACGCUCCAGAUGGCAUUGUUUCAAAACACCAAGGGGAAUGUUUGAUACAAAAAGGUGC